rnacentral:rRNA from 1 species
UCUGCAACUCGACUACAUGAAGCCGGAAUCGCUAGUAAUCGCGGAUCAGAAUGCCGCGGUGAAUACGUUCCCGGGCCUUGUACACACCGCCCGUCACACCAUGAGAGUUUGUAACACCCAAAGCCGGUGGGGUAACCUUUUGGAGCCAGCCGUCUAAGGUGGGACAGAUGAUUGGGGUGAAGUCGUAACAAGGUAGC